rnacentral:lncRNA from 1 species
AGGAAGUUAUGAUUUUCUAAAGUUUUGAAUAGCAGUAUGCAGCCCGGAUACUCAAUUUGAGACCGAGCAGUUUUUAGCCGAAACAAUCUAAACGAGAAUCGAAGAUCUCGUUAAUUGUAGUGAAACGAUAAAAAGAUAGGCGAAAACGGACGUCGGAUGAAGAAGUUAUGAAUUUAUAACGGAGUUUUCUUGUCCCGACCUACUAAAAAUAAAUACAAAGUUGUAGAGCGUAGUCUCACCUACGCGUGGAUAUAAACAACGUUGAAAACAGAGUUCGUAUGAAGAAGAUAUUAAUUUUUGAAGUUUAUUAAAUAAUUAAAAUAUAAAUUUAAUUAUUAAACCCGAUAUUAUCCGAAGGGGGGGAGUCACCGGACUUAUCCGGGUUACGCCCAGUGUACAGCGAAGCAUGACCAGCCUCAGACUCGAGUGCCUCGCAUACGCAUGCAAUGACGAUUUCCGGAGUACGCCCCGCGUAACCCUAUACGCCCAGCGUACCGAGGCAGUUCAGNCAGCCUCCUAUAAAUUGGAUGCGAGGGUUCCGGGCAUAUUUGCUCAGUUCCUCUCUUUUUCGUGCCGAAGCUCUGCGUGUAAACCCCCGAAGCCGUCCCGACACCCCGGAUCUUAUAUCCAAGUUAAGAAGGAAGUUUUACGCUCCCGAGAUCCCGAGAAGUGCGAUUCCAGAGCCGAAGCUCUGCCCGCGAAGAGCCCGGUUUUUGUGAAAAUCUCCCAGAUCUACCGAAGAAUACUACUUCUACAAGUCGUAGUGUUGUCUGAUCAUCUUCUAAUCAAGUGAGUGUAUGGUUACUUUCUUCAAACGCAUAAUUAUGAAGUAUUUUAUACGAAAUACGUGUUAUGUGUAUAAUUUUGUUGUUAUGUGUGUGAAUGUAUAUUCACUUUCUUCUAUCUCAUAGAUCUGAUUUAUUCUCUAUGAAAUACGUGUUAUGUGGGUGUGCGUCAUCUGUUAUGUGGAAUAUGUAUUGAACGAGAAUGCUAUACAGGUUUUUAAACUAUGUAUAAAAAUAUAUAUUUUUAUCUACUAAUAUGUUGGGUAGAACAUUGGUAGAUAGUUGAUGUGUAAUAAACAGAUGAGAGGCCUCAAUGUUGUUGUUGUUGAUCUAGUUAUUCAACGGAGUAUGGAUUAUACCAAGAGGUUAGUUUUAGAUCCGGGAGUAUGGAUCAGGUAAAGAGAUAAAACUUGCUAUUAGUCCGGGAGUAUGGAUUAAGACUAAGUUAAUUGUCCCUAGUCUGGGAGUAUGCAUUGGGCACAGUUAUUGAUCCGGGAGUAUGGAUCAGAUCAGGAUUAGGGUAUAGUUAAUUGUCCUUAUUCCGGGAGUAUGGAUUGGGUACAAUUAUUGAUCCGGGAGUAUGGAUCAGAUCAGGAGGUUAGUUUUAGAUCCGUAAGUAUGGACCGGGUAGUUUUAGAUCCGUGAGUAUGGAUCAGGUGAAAAUAGGGAUGUCACAGUUGGUAUCAGAGCAUUAGUGUAAGCGAACUAGGAAAUUGUAGGAAAUUUCUAGACUUAAACUUAGAAUGCUAAGUAAUGAUUGUGAGGAGUGUGUCUAAAAUAUGUUAGGUAGUACACCUAAAUUGACACAAGCACUAGUUUAUUUUAGGAAUGAUGCAUAAGAUGCUUUUAUGUGCUAAAUGUUUUGUGAGAUAGCUAUAUCAAUGCUAUUAUUUGUUCGGAUCCAUGGUCUAUUGCCGACCGGAUCUGGAAACCUUAUGUGUUUAGGAUUCUAAGCGUACGACUACGAUAUUAGAACUAUCAUGUAAACGUUUCGGAGUGAUAAGGAUGAAUUAAUUAUCUAUCGUGAUUGAGGAUCUAAAUUCACCAUAUUCGGUGUGUAGAUCAAAAAUGGUAAGAACUAGAAGUGGAGUUGGAAACGUGAACAAAGACAGGAAUCAACCCCCUGUGAUUGAGCAAGCACUUGUUGUAGCAGCAACACAGAGCCAAUGACGAUGGCUGGGGUGCAAGCAAUGAUGCAGAUGAUGUUGGAUCGCCAAAUGGAGGAGACAAGGUGAUUACUCCAACAGAAUCGUGAGGAACUGUCACUUCAAGUGGAAGAGCCCGAAGUGAAUGGAGGGCAGUCGGAGGGAGGUAACUACAGUGGGACUGUUGGACAAGCAAAACCCCCAGUGGCAAAAAGGAAUGACCUGGAAAGGGAAAGAAACAGGGAUGGGCGUAUGUAUAAAAAUUUCUUGGGCGUCAAGCCGCCAAGUCUUUCUGGAAGCCCAAAGCCUGUUGAGAUUAUGGACUGGAUCUCCGAAAUGGAGAUGGUGUUUGAGGGUUGCGACUGUAGCAACAAACAGAAGACUGUCUUUGCAGUUAGACAAAUGAAGACCGGAGUCUUGAGCUGGUGGAAGUUACUGGCAGAUAUGAUGCCACGAGGGGAAGCCCUAAGAAUGUCUUGGGAAUCAUUCUUGGAGCAGUUAAAGAUGUAGUACUGCUCAGAGAUAGAUCUGAUUGAUCUGAACAAUGAAUUCCAAAACCUGAAGAAAGGUAAAUUGAGCAUUGAUGAUUAUGCCACUGCAUUUACCAAAAAGAUGAAGUUAUUUCCAUACUUAGUGUCAACUGAACUCUCAAAAAUUGAGAGGUUCACAAAUGGACUGCCUGCUGACUUUGGCCCAACGGUCAAGAUGGCAACUACUUUUAAGACAACAAUCUGAGCAGCUAGAAAUGUGGAGACCCAGUUAAAGAAAAAGGGUCUGGAGAGAAUCAAGUUGGGCAAGAAAAUAAAGAUUGAAGGAUCUUCAAGGUCCGAUGAGAAGAGAAAGUUUUCGAAGUCUGAUUCGAAGAAGCUUGAAGAAGGAGCACAAUGGUGUGACAAGUGCAAGAGGAAGCACAUUAGGAAAUGCUCUAAAGAAAUGACUUGCUUCAAAUGCGGGAAGACUAGUCAUUACGCCAGCAAAUGCCCAAACAAAAGAGAAGCCUGCUUUAAGUGUGGUGAAGAAGGACACUUCAAACAAAACUGCCCAAGAAGGGAAGAGAUUACAAAGCCAAAUGUGCCGCCAAAGCCAAAGGCAAGAGCAUUUCAAAUGAUCCUUGAUGAAGCAGAUGGCAAUGCAAGGAAUCAGGAAUAAGGAUUUUAUAUCUAAAGAUCAAGUUAUAAAGUAGCAAUAUGAAAAGUAACAUGUGGUGUAGCCUAUUAGAGGCAUAGUAUUGGGUGAACUUGAACUUUUGUGUAAUCGUUUCAAGGAAUUAAUAUAAACCCUAGUUUUGCUAACUGAUGUGUUGAAUGAUUGUCUGAUUUUCUUGUAUGGUGACUUGGUCGACUGCGGGACAAUACUUGAGACGAGUAUGAGUAGGUGUGAAAGGUAGUAGAUGCAUAUACUACCGAAAGCACAGGACUCGCACUUGGAUCAGGGAAAGUCACAAGGUUACCAAGAAGCUAGUAAUUGAUUCCGUUCUGUUCAAGUGUGUCCUUACCACUGUUUCGGUAAUGACUAGUAAGAUAGUUGUUGUUAGCGGUCAUAUCCAAUUUGAGUCCGACUACGGUGAGUAUGUUACGUGGUUCGGAGAACCAAGCUCGAAGUAACAUCUGACGUAAGUCAAAAGAUUGAAGUCAAUGCGAUCAUUGGUAUCGCACUUGUUGUUCAUAAAGUUGUACCUAGAAAUGCUACAUGAUGAAAUGUGAUUAUAUCACAUUAGAAUAUGAAGGAAGGAUAUUCCAUUUUGGAAUUUAACUCUAAGAGACUUGAGUCAAAGCGCUGCAUCAUGUGAUGAGAGGCCAUUAGAACAUGACCCAUCGAUCAGUUACAAUAGAUAAAGGAAAGUAUUUAUCCUAAGAAGAAGAAGGAGUCCACAAUAAGGACUUAUUUGGUAACUCGAAGGUUACGAUUGAAAAGUACGACAUAGUACGAUAAGCAGAGUCAAGAUUGAGCAUCGUCUGCGAUCAAGAAAUCCAUAGAGUAAAAUACUCUUUCGAGGAAACAUAGAAGUUACGGUUAUUACCUAGGAUGAAGAGAUAGCGUAUGGGAUAAUUAUACAAGUUCUAUUUUCGUUGAUGAUUCCGGGACGUAAUCAUCCUAAGGGGGAGAUAAUUGUAACGCUUGUAGAUCAGGGCUAGUCAAUUUAGAGACGAUAAGCGUCAAAAAUGACGUCUAAAUCUGACUUCGUAAGAGGAAGUUAUGAUUUUCUGAAGUUUUGAAUAGCAGUAUGUAGCCCGGAUACUCGAUUUGAAACCAAGCAGUUUUUAGCCGAAACAAUCUAAACGAGAAUCGAAGAUCUCCUUAAUUGUAGUGAAACGAUAAAAAGAUAGGCGAAAACGGACGUCGGAUGAAGAAGUUAUGAAUUUAUAACGGAGUUUUCUUGUCCCGACCUACUAAAAAUAAAUAAUAAAAAUAAAGUCAAAAUUUG